UCCGAGUUGACCCCGGCAGUCUCCUGCGAGUCGCCGCCAUUACGCGCUGGCAACACAGGACAAGGGUUGCGCUCGUUGCGGGACUUAACCCAACACCUCACGGCACGAGCUGACGACAGCCAUGCAGCACCUUCCAUCGCGCCCCGAGGGGACCCUCCCUUUCGGGAGGUAGUACGAUGAAUUUAGCCCAGGUAAGGUUCCUCGCGUUGCAUCGAAUUAAGCCACAUGCUCCACCGCUUGUGCGGGCCCCCGUCAAUUCCUUUGAGUUUCAGCCUUGCGGCCGUACUCCCCAGGCGGGGUGCUUAACGCGUUAGCUGCGACGCUGAAAGGGUCGCUCCCCCCAGCAUCUAGCACCCAUCGUUUACGGCGUGGACUAC
rnacentral:misc_RNA from 1 species